CUGAAACCGUAUGCCUACAAGAAGUCCGAGCCCGUUAAGGGGUGAUGGCGUGCCUUUUGUAGAAUGAACCGGCGAGUUGCGACAGACUGCGAGGUUAAGGAGGAAAGACCGGAGCCGAAGCGAAAGCGAGUCUUAAGAGGGCGAAAGUAGGAUGUUGCAGACCCGAAACCGGGUGAUCUAGCCAUGAGCAGGUUGAAGUUGAGGUGAAACUCAAUGGAGGACCGAACCGACUACCGUUGAAAAGUUAGCGGAUGACUUGUGGCUAGGGGAGAAAUUCCAAUCGAACCCGGAGAUAGCUGGUUCUCCCCGAAAUAGCUUUAGGGCUAGCGUCGAGAGAAGAGUUGCGUGAAGGUAGAGCACUGAAUAUGUGAUGGCCCCAUCUCGGGGUACUGAGCAUAAUCAAACUGCGAAUGUCACGCCAACAUGCUCGGCAGUCAGACAGCGGGUGAUAAGGUCCGUUGUCAAGAGGGAAACAGCCCAGACCAUCAGCUAAGGUCCCAAAAUGUAUGCUAAGUGGAAAAGGAUGUGGAGAUGUACAGACAACUAGGAGGUUGGCUCAGAAGCAGCCAUCCUUUAAAGAGUGCGUAACAGCUCACUAGUCGAGUGACCCUGCGCCGAAAAUGUACCGGGGCUAAGCCUGAUACCGAAACUGCGGAUUGUAGGAAACUAUAGUGGUAGGGGAGCGUUGUAUACGAGCAGAAGCCGUACCGUGAGGAGCGGUGGAUUGUAUAGAAGUGAGAAUGCCGGUGUGAGUAGCGAGAUGUAGGUGAGAAUCCUACACACCGAAAGCCCAAGGAUUCCAGGGGAAGGUUCGUCCGCCCUGGGUAAGUCGGGACCUAACGCGAGGCCGAAAGGCGUAGUGGAUGGAAAGCAGGCGAAAGAUUCCUGCACCCGUAUAUGGAGCGAAGGAGUGACGGAGACGGAUAGUGUGACCCUCUUAAUGGAUUGAGGGCGAAGCGAAGCGGCUGGUUACCAGGCAAAUCCGGUAACUGAAAGGCUAGAGCGUGACAGGUAAGCGAAAUCUUAGGAAAGUAGCGAAGCACAUGAUGACGGCUUCCAGGAAAAGCUUCUGGCAAUGCAUAUGCGGCCCGUACCAAAACCGACACAGGUGGGCAGGGAGAGAAUCCCGAGGUGAGCGAGAGAACUGUUGCCAAGGAACUCGGCAAAAUGACUCCGUAAGUUAGCGAGAAGGAGUGCUUAAGCAAUUAAGCCGCAGUGAAGAGGCCCAAGCGACUGUUUAACUAAAACACAGCUCUCUGCGAAGUCGCAAGACGAAGUAUAGGGGGUGACACCUGCCCGGUGCUGGAAGGUUAAGAGGAUCUGUUAAGAGCGAUCUGAAGCAGUGAUCCGAAGCCCCAGUGAACGGCGGCCGUAACUAUAACGGUCCUAAGGUAGCGAAAUUCCUUGUCAGGUAAGUUCUGACCCGCACGAAAGGUGUAACGAUUUGGGCGCUGUCUCGGCAGCAGACUCGGUGAAAUCUUAGUACCUGUGAAAAUGCAGGUUACCCGCAACUAGACGGAAAGACCCCAUGGAGCUUUACUGCAGCCUGAUAUUGAAUUCUGGUCAUACAUGUACAGGAUAGGUGGGAGACAAAGAGACGUGCACGCCAGUGUACGAGGAGUCGGCGUUGGGAUACCACUCUUGUGUGACCGGGGUUCUAACCUGGUAUCGAGAACAGGUACGGGGAGAGUGUCAGGUGGGCAGUUUGACUGGGGCGGUCGCCUCCCAAAGAGUAACGGAGGC
rnacentral:rRNA from 1 species